rnacentral:tRNA from 1 species
GCCCGGAUGGCGGAAUGGCAGACGCAACGGACUUAAAAUCCGUUUUCCGAUGAGGAAGUGUGGGUUCGACUCCCACUCCGGGCA